AGCUCCAAUAGCGUAUAUUAAAGUUGUUGCAGUUAAAAAGCUCGUAGUUGGAUUUCGGAAUGGGCCAGUUGGUCCGCCGCAAGGUGAGUUACUGACUGGUUUGUUCUUCUUCGCAAAGACUGCGUGUGCUCUUUACUGAGUGUACGUAGGAUUUACGACGUUUACUUUGAAAAAAUUAGAGUGUUCAAAGCAGGCUAUCGCUUGAAUACAUGAGCAUGGAAUAAUGGAAUAGGACUUUGGUUCUAUUUGGUUGGUUGCUAGGACCGAAGUAAUGAUUAAGAGGGACAAUUGGGGGCAUCCGUAUUUCGUUGUCAGAGGUGAAAUUCUUGGAUUUACGAAAGACGAACAACUGCGAAAGCACUUGCCAAGAGUGUUUUCA
rnacentral:rRNA from 1 species